rnacentral:rRNA from 1 species
AUUGAACGCUGGCGGCAUGCUUUACACAUGCAAGUCGAACGGUAACAGGCCGCAAGGUGCUGACGAGUGGCGAACGGGUGAGUAAUGCAUCGGAACGUGCCCAGUCGUGGGGGAUAACGCAGCGAAAGCUGCGCUAAUACCGCAUACGAUCUAUGGAUGAAAGCGGGGGACCGUAAGGCCUCGCGCGAUUGGAGCGGCCGAUGUCAGAUUAGGGAGUUGGUGGGGUAAAGGCUCACCAAGCCAACGAUCGGGAGCUGGUCUGAGAGGACGACCAGACACACUGGGAGUGAGACACGGCCCAGACUCCGACGGGAGGCAGCAGUGGGAAAUUUUGGACAAUGGGCGCAAGCCUGAUCCAGCAAUGCCGCGUGCAGGAAGAAGGCCUUCGGGUUGUAAACUGCUUUUGUACGGAACGAAACGGUCCUGGUUAAUACCCGGGGCUAAUGACGGUACCGUAAGAAUAAGCACCGGCUAACUACGUGCCAGCAGCCGCCGUAAAAC